CCUACGGGAGGCAGCAGUGGGGAAUAUUGGGCAAUGGGCGCAAGCCUGACCCAGCAACGCCGCGUGAAGGAAGAAGGCCCUCGGGUUGUAAACUUCUUUUGUCAGGGACGAAGAAAGUGACGGUACCUGACGCAUAAGCCACGGCUAAAUACGUGCCAGCAGCCGCGGUAAUACGGAGGUGGCAAGCGUUAUCCGGAUUUACUGGGUGUAAAGGGCGUGUAGGCGGGACUGGAAGCCAGAUGUGAAAUUCCAGGGGCCAACCCUGGGACUGCCUUUGAAACUGUCGUUCUUGAGUGAGGGAGAGGCAGGCGGAAUGCGGGGUGUAGCGGGGAAAUGCGUAGAUAUACGGAGGAACACCAGUGGCGAAGGCGGCCUACUGGACAUUUACUGACGCUGAGGCGCGAAAGCGUGGGGAGCGAACAGGAUUAGAUACCCGAGUAGUC
rnacentral:rRNA from 1 species